GGAGGAGAAGGAAAAAGAAAACUCUCCUGUUCAUGCUGGCAGUUGCCAAUUUUGGACUAUCAGGGAGAUGUUCUCCACCACUAGAUUCAGCAAGGAAGUGUUGAGGAGGAACUGCUUCAUUCUCCAAAUCUGAUCCAGAAGAGAAAUGUCUUCCACAACUGGAUCAAGGAAGAAGUGACUGUUGAUGAGCAGGUUCAGCUGGUGCCUAUUGAUGUUAAAGCUCUUAUGUAUGCUUGCACCUUUGUUUUCCACUUGCUUAUUGAUGAAACUCAUGUGUACCUCCUGC
rnacentral:lncRNA from 1 species